UACGUAGGGUGCAAGCGUUAAUCGGAAUUACUGGGCGUAAAGCGUGCGUAGGCGGCUAUGUAAGACAGAUGUGAAAUCCCUGGGCUCAACCUAGGAACUGCAUUUGUGACUGCAUAGCUAGAGUGUGGUAGAGGGAGAUGGAAUUCCGCAUGUAGCAGUGAAAUGCGUAGAGAUCAGGAGGAACACCGGUGGCGAAGGCGGCCUACUGGGCUGUCACUGACGCUGAGGCGCGAAAGCUCGGGGAGCGAACGGG
rnacentral:rRNA from 1 species